GACGAACGCUGGCGGCGUGCUUAACACAUGCAAGUCGAACGGAAAGGCCCUGCUUUUGUGGGGUGCUCGAGUGGCGAACGGGUGAGUAACACGUGAGUAACCUGCCCUUGACUUUGGGAUAACUUCAGGAAACUGGGGCUAAUACCGGAUAGGAGCUCCUGCUGCAUGGUGGGGGUUGGAAAGUUUCGGCGGUUGGGGAUGGACUCGCGGCUUAUCAGCUUGUUGGUGGGGUAGUGGCUUACCAAGGCUUUGACGGGUAGCCGGCCUGAGAGGGUGACCGGGAACAUGGAGGCGGAGGGCAGGAGCGAGUGAGGGCGGGAGGGAGGGUGGGGGAAGAGGGGACGGUGGGGGAUAGGCGGAGGCGCAGAGGCGGGGAGCGGGGUGAGGGGGGUGGGGGUGUAAACUGGUGUCGUAGGGGAGGGAGGGUGGGUGAUGGGAGGGGAAAAAGAGGCAUAGGCUAACUAGGUGCCAGGGGAGGGGGUGAUAGAUAGGAAGAAGAAUAGUCUAGGC
rnacentral:rRNA from 1 species